AUUGAACGCUGGCGGCAUGCCUUACACAUGCAAGUCGAACGGCAGCAUGAUCUAGCUUGCUAGAUUGAUGGCGCGUGGCGAACGGGUGAGUAAUACAUCGGAACGUGCCCUGUAGUGGGGGAUAACUAGUCGAAAGAUUAGCUAAUACCGCAUACGACCUGAGGGUGAAAGUGGGGGACCGCAAGGCCUCAUGCUAUAGGAGCGGCCGAUGUCUGAUUAGCUAGUUGGUGAGGUAAAGGCUCACCAAGGCGACGAUCAGUAGCUGAUCUGAGAGGACGAUCAGCCACACUGGGACUGAGACACGGCCCAGACUCCUACGGGAGGCAGCAGUGGGGAAUUUUGGACAAUGGGCGAAAGCCUGAUCCAGCAAUGCCGCGUGUGUGAAGAAGGCCUUCGGGUUGUAAAGCACUUUUGUCCGGAAAGAAAUGGCUCUGGUUAAUACCUGGGGUCGAUGACGGUACCGGAAGAAUAAGGACCGGCUAACUACGUG
rnacentral:rRNA from 1 species